rnacentral:rRNA from 1 species
CAGCGAAAUUGAAUUCUCCGUGAAGAUGCGGAGUUCCCGCGGUUAGACGGAAAGACCCCGUGCACCUUUACUACAACUUCGCAGUGGCGUUAGUGGCGAUAUGUGUAGGAUAGGCGGGAGGCUUUGAAACCGGAGCGCCAGUUCCGGUGGAGCCAUCCUUGAAAUACCGCCCUUAUCCUCAUUGACGUCUAACCGCGGUCCAUGAACCUGGAUCCGGGACCCUGCGUGGUGGGUAGUUUGACUGGGGCGGUCGCCUCCCAAAUGGUAACGGAGGCGCGCGAAGGUGGGCUCAGAGCGGUCGGAAAUCGCUCGUUGAGUGCA